GUGCAUAGUAGAUGCCUAAAUAAAGCUCUGUGGAAUGGACCUGAAGGCCAUUCCAGGCUGUGGGAAUUGUACAUGAAAGCGCCCAUCCUGUGUGGGGAAUAUGAGGACUUCAGCGUUUAGAGUUUAGUCUGAAGUGUACAUUGAAAGGAAAGCAGAUGAAGGGAGAUGGAAACAAAAUAAAAAACUAUCGUUGGGUUGGGGUGUGUUAGGAUUUGAGAUUGUGGAAGGAUCUAUUCCAAGAAGCUGAAUUUCGUCUUACAGGUGUGAUGAACCACAGACAUUCUGAAGCAGAAUUAUGACCUCAUUAUGAUGUAACUGUGACAGACACGUUGGUGAUGUUUCCUAUGGUACACGGAAGGGAAACCAGGGAAAUGAGAAUGACCAAGAAAUGACUAAAUCAGGAGAUGUAAGACUAGGAGAAAAGAAAUCGAUGCGCUAACUGGCUUUCCACACAGCCUCCUUGCCUUGUACCUGGAAGGGCCACGGUGGCAAAAAGGAGCACAGCUUGCUUGAUGAGUCUGUCAUUUAGAAGUUUUCUUCUACCCUAAAACCGAGAUGCUGGAGACAGAAAAAACACCCAAUAAAUCUGUAGUAAACUGAAAUGGUCAAAGUAGAGUGAAUUAUUCAGAGUCAUCAGGGCAUGACUAUUUUCAACAUUUAAUGCUUCACUGAGUCUGGCUUUAUUAUUUAUUAUUUGUAAUAAGAGCUCUUUAUUGUCCCUCUGCAGGAGACAUUCUCCACCCAUAAAAGCCUCUCCUUUGAAAUAAUUUCUUUUCACAUUAAGCAGUCUGAAAUUCCUUGUCCUCUUUUCAUCUAGUUAUACUUAAUUAUAAUUCUUUGUUCUAGAGUAGCUUUAAAAAAAAAUCACCUUACACCUUUGGUAACUGUAGAAACUUGCUGUAUUCUGCCUGAGAAGCUUUCCUAUUAGUCUGAGUACAUUUUAUUCUUAGUAUCUCUCCUCUCUCUCUCGGCUGAUUUGGGACACCUGCUAUCACGUCCAUCUUUCUGCUGCUAAGAUUCCUUAUGAUGAACACAGUUAUUUAGAUUCAGAUUUUACUCAGCUGUUUGUCCGUAAGCAGGCCCUUAUUCAAAACCAAAUGCCACACUUAAAAAAAAUCUAGGUCCGUUACAAAUUACUUUUGGCUCUAGAAUACAUAUCUCAUUAUUUCUACCUUUGCUUUUCUUAUUUUGUUUUCAACCAGGCCACUGUGUAAAGUACAAUCGCUUGGAUCUUUGUAGGUCAUUGAUUGUACACGUCAAGGCUUUGCAGUUGACAAAACUGGGCUCAAACUCCAAGCGUGUGCUGACUGGCUGUGUGAGGCCUGGACUCCUUCUAUAAUCCACGGAAACCUCAGGGUCCUUGUUUGUAAAAUACAAAGGGUACAAAAAAAAAAAGAAAGGGUUAGUACCACCUAAAAAAGAAGGAGGAAUGCGGUAAUUGACGUAAACUGCCCAGCACAAAGCCUGCCUACAGGGGUCAUUCAACAAAUGCUGCUUCUUGAUGCCCCUCCUGAUUUUUUUCAUAUUUUCUGAAGGUUUUGAUAGUUUAUAAUUUAAGGUUUGAUAAUUUAAUAAUUUAAUGCUGGUCCCUGUGAAAUGGAGAAUGGUACAUUAUAUUUUUAGUGAACUGCAUUUUCUGAUGGAGAGAGAAUUUCAGAGAAUUUUAUGACCUUAUCUGUCUCCUCUCAAA